rnacentral:rRNA from 1 species
UACGUAGGGGGCUAGCGUUGUCCGGAAUCAUUGGGCGUAAAGAGCGUGUAGGCGGCUCGGUAAGUCCGCUGUAAAAGUCAAAGGCUCAACCUUUGAAUGUCAGUGGAUACUGCCGGGCUAGAGUCCGGAAGAGGCGAGUGGAACUCCUGGUGUAGCGGUGGAAUGCGCAGAUAUCAGGAAGAACACCAACGGCGAAGGCAGCUCGGUGGGACGGUACUGACGCUGAGACGCGAAAGCGUGGGAGCGAACAGG